rnacentral:rRNA from 1 species
GAUGAACGCUGGCGGCGUGCCUAAUACAUGCAAGUCGAGCGAACAGAUCAGGAGUUUGCUCCUCUGACGUCAGCGGCGGUCGGGUGAGUACCAUGUGGUUAACCUACCUCCACGACUGGGAUAACUUCGGGAAAUCGUAUCUACUACCGGAUAAUAUAUUGAAUUUCAUUGUUCACUAGUUAAAUUCGGUUUUUCUUUCACUUAUAGCUUGAUCCGCGCCGCAUUAGCUAGUUGUCAAGGUAACGGGUUAGCAACGCAGGGAGGCGUAGCCGACCCGAGAGGGUGGUCGGCCACACUGGAACUGAGACACAGUCCAGACUCCUACGGGGGGCAGCAGUAGGGAAUCUUCCGCGAUGGGCGAAAGCCUGACGGUGCAACGCCGCGUGAGGGAUGAAGGUCUUCGGAUCGUAAAGCUCUGUUAUUAGGAGAGAACAAAUGUGUAAGUAACUAUGCACAUAUUGACGGUACCUAAACAGAAAGCCACGGCUAACUACGUG